UGGGGAAUAUUGCACAAUGGGCGCAAGCCUGAUGCAGCCAUGCCGCGUGUAUGAAGAAGGCCUUCGGGUUGUAAAGUACUUUCAGCGGGGAGGAAGGGAGUAAAGUUAAUACCUUUGCUCAUUGACGUUACCCGCAGAAGAAGCACCGGCUAACUCCGUGCCAGCAGCCGCGGUAAUACGGAGGGUGCAAGCGUUAAUCGGAAUUACUGGUCGUAAAGCGCACGCAGGCGGUUUGUUAAGUCAGAUGUGAAAUCCCCGGGCUCAACCUGGGAAAUGCAUCUGAUACUGGCAAGCUUGAGUCUCGUAGAGGGAGGUAGAAUUCCAGGUGUAGCGGUGACAUGCGUAGAGAUCUGGGUGAAUACCGGUGGCGAAGGCGGCCCCCUGGACGAAGACUAACGCUCAGGUGCGAAAGCGUAGGGAGCAAACAGG
rnacentral:rRNA from 1 species